rnacentral:rRNA from 1 species
UACAGAGGGUGCGAGCGUUGUUCGGAAUUAUUGGGCGUAAAGGGUGCGUAGGCGGGUAAGUAAGUCCGUGGUGAAAUCUCUGAGCUUAACUCAGAAACUGCCGUGGAUACUAUUUGCCUUGAAUAUUGUGGAGGUGAGCGGAAUAUGUCAUGUAGCGGUGAAAUGCUUAGAUAUGACAUAGAACACCAAUUGCGAAGGCAGCUCACUACACAAUCAUUGACGCUGAGGCACGAAAGCGUGGGGAUCAAACAGG